rnacentral:rRNA from 1 species
UGGGGAAUAUUGGACAAUGGGGGGAACCCUGAUCCAGCAAUGCCGCGUGUGUGAAGAAGGCCUGAGGGUUGUAAAGCACUUUCAGUAGGGAGGAGGGUUAUUAGGUUAAGAGCCAGAUGACUGGACGUUACCUACAGAAGAAGCACCGGCUAACUCCGUGCCAGCAGCCGCGGUAAUACGGAGGGUGCGAGCGUUAAUCGGAAUUACUGGGCGUAAAGGGUUCGUAGGUGGUUAGAUAAGUUAUGUGUAAAAUUCCUGGGCUCAACCUGGGGUGGUCAGAUAAUACUGUUUAACUUGAGUACGGGAGAGGGUAGUGGAAUUUCCGGUGUAGCGGUGAAAUGCGUAGAGAUCGGAAGGAACACCGGUGGCGAAGGCGGCUACCUGGCCUGAUACUGACACUGAGGGACGAAAGCGUGGGGAGCAAACAGGAUUAGAUACCCCCGUAGUCC